GCUCAGGUAGCCCAAUAGGCAGAGGCAGGGCACUUAAAAUGCCCCCAGUGUGGGUUCGAGUCCCACCCUGAGCA
rnacentral:tRNA from 1 species